rnacentral:rRNA from 2 species
CCCCUUCGGGGUACUCGAGUGGCGAACGGGUGAGUAACACGUGGGCAAUCUGCCCUGCACUUCGGGAUAAGCCUGGGAAACUGGGUCUAAUACCGGAUAGGACCUUUAGGCGCAUGUCUUUAGGUGGAAAGCUUUUGCGGUGUGGGAUGGGCCCGCGGCCUAUCAGCUUGUUGGUGGGGUGAUGGCCUACCAAGGCGACGACGGGUAGCCGGCCUGAGAGGGUGUCCGGCCACACUGGGACUGAGAUACGGCCCAGACUCCUACGGGAGGCAGCAGUGGGGAAUAUUGCACAAUGGGCGCAAGCCUGAUGCAGCGACGCCGCGUGGGGGAUGACGGCCUUCGGGUUGUAAACCUCUUUCACCAUCGACGAAGGUUCGGGUUUUCUCGGAUUGACGGUAGGUGGAGAAGAAGCACCGGCCAACUACGUGCCAGCAGCCGCGGUAAUACGUAGGGUGCGAGCGUUGUCCGGAAUUACUGGGCGUAAAGAGCUCGU